GCGGAGGCGGCGGCGCUGGGACCCCCCUCCCCACUUCCCUCGGGGUUCCUGUGUGUCCGGGGGGUGAGCGAGCUCCCCUGAUUCCUGGUGCGGGCUCGGGCCUGGGGCGCGGCCGCACCCCUCACCCACAGCGGCGCGGGGGCCCAGCCGUGGGGAACGCCCUCCCGGGAUGAAGCGCUUCCCGGUGCGUUCAAGUGCCUAUCAACAGAAUGGAUGCGCGGCACCCUUACCACGAUACACUUUUUUUCUUCAUUAUUAUCUGAAUGUGACUAGAACUUGCUCACCUGCGAGACACUGUACUAAGCACCUCCCAGGAUUUUCCAGUUUGGUCCUCCUGGCAAAUCUAUUUUUUAUUUUACUGAACAGGAAAACAUAUAAUGCAAACAGCCAUAUAAUAAAUGACGACGUCUCAAUGCCAGGAUGUCCUGGGCCAUUACAAGUUGCCAAGCCCUGGGCUGACACCUGGACCACCAGCCCGUUCAUUCAACGCUGACAACUACUCCGGGAUGGGACCCUUAUUUUACAGACCAAGAGACACAAGCACCGAGGAGCAAAUGUACCCUUAUAGCUCUGGCUGGACAGUUGUGAUGGUUUACAUCUGUAGCGUCCGUCCUUUGGGGGCAGAGACAGGAGGAUUAUUAAUUUGAAGCCAGACUGGGUUACCUAGUGAGACCUCAUGUCAAACAACAACACACAAAUGUCAGAUUGACCGCAAGUGGGUGAGCUGAGGAUGUCAGACAUAUUCAUGAUGUCAUUAUUUCUAUCAUAAACCACUAUACCAUGUUACCCACCUCUUUAAAGAACACACAAUAAACCUAUUAAUUAUA